GGAAAGGCGCGCGAUACAGGGUGACAGCCCCGUACACAAAAAUGCACAUGCUGUGAGCUCGAUGAGUAGGGCGGGACACGUGGUAUCCUGUCUGAAUAUGGGGGGACCAUCCUCCAAGGCUAAAUACUCCUGACUGACCGAUAGUGAACCAGUACCGUGAGGGAAAGGCGAAAAGAACCCCGGCGAGGGGAGUGAAAAAGAACCUGAAACCGUGUACGUACAAGCAGUGGGAGCACAGAGCAAUCUGUGUGACUGCGUACCUUUUGUAUAAUGGGUCAGCGACUUAUAUUCUGUAGCAAGGUUAACCGAAUAGGGGAGCCGAAGGGAAACCGAGUCUUAACUGGGCGUUAAGUUGCAGGGUAUAGACCCGAAACCCGGUGAUCUAGCCAUGGGCAGGUUGAAGGUUGGGUAACACUAACUGGAGGACCGAACCGACUAAUGUUGAAAAAUUAGCGGAUGACUUGUGGCUGGGGGUGAAAGGCCAAUCAAACCGGGAGAUAGCUGGUUCUCCCCGAAAGCUAUUUAGGUAGCGCCUCGUGAAUUCAUCUCCGGGGGUAGAGCACUGUUUCGGCAAGGGGGUCAUCCCGACUUACCAACCCGAUGCAAACUGCGAAUACCGGAGAAUGUUAUCACGGGAGACACACGGCGGGUGCUAACGUCCGUCGUGAAGAGGGAAACAACCCAGACCGCCAGCUAAGGUCCCAAAGUCAUGGUUAAGUGGGAAACGAUGUGGGAAGGCCCAGACAGCCAGGAUGUUGGCUUAGAAGCAGCCAUCAUUUAAAGAAAGCGUAAUAGCUCACUGGUCGAGUCGGCCUGCGCGGAAGAUGUAACGGGGCUAAACCAUGCACCGAAGCUGCGGCAGCGACGCUUAUGCGUUGUUGGGUAGGGGAGCGUUCUGUAAGCCUGCGAAGGUGUGCUGUGAGGCAUGCUGGAGGUAUCAGAAGUGCGAAUGCUGACAUAAGUAACGAUAAAGCGGGUGAAAAGCCCGCUCGCCGGAAGACCAAGGGUUCCUGUCCAACGUUAAUCGGGGCAGGGUGAGUCGACCCCUAAGGCGAGGCCGAAAGGCGUAGUCGAUGGGAAACAGGUUAAUAUUCCUGUACUUGGUGUUACUGCGAAGGGGGGACGGAGAAGGCUAUGUUGGCCGGGCGACGGUUGUCCCGGUUUAAGCGUGUAGGCUGGUUUUCCAGGCAAAUCCGGAAAACUAAGGCUGAGGCGUGAUGACGAGGCACUACGGUGCUGAAGCAACAAAUGCCCUGCUUCCAGGAAAAGCCUCUAAGCAUCAGGUAACAUCAAAUCGUACCCCAAACCGACACAGGUGGUCAGGUAGAGAAUACCAAGGCGCUUGAGAGAACUCGGGUGAAGGAACUAGGCAAAAUGGUGCCGUAACUUCGGGAGAAGGCACGCUGAUAUGUAGGUGAAGUCCCUCGCGGAUGGAGCUGAAAUCAGUCGAAGAUACCAGCUGGCUGCAACUGUUUAUUAAAAACACAGCACUGUGCAAACACGAAAGUGGACGUAUACGGUGUGACGCCUGCCCGGUGCCGGAAGGUUAAUUGAUGGGGUCAGCGCAAGCGAAGCUCUUGAUCGAAGCCCCGGUAAACGGCGGCCGUAACUAUAACGGUCCUAAGGUAGCGAAAUUCCUUGUCGGGUAAGUUCCGACCUGCACGAAUGGCGUAAUGAUGGCCAGGCUGUCUCCACCCGAGACUCAGUGAAAUUGAACUCGCUGUGAAGAUGCAGUGUACCCGCGGCAAGACGGAAAGACCCCGUGAACCUUUACUAUAGCUUGACACUGAACAUUGAGCCUUGAUG
rnacentral:rRNA from 1 species